CAGGGGACCGGGGGCGGGGCCUGGAGGGGAGCCAGUGCUCAGCCCUUGAAAAGGCGGCGCCAUCCUAAGGAGGGACACAGAUCCACCGCCCAAUUCCUUUCCUGGGAUCUUCAGAGUUAUAGAAAUUUGAGGUCAAGACAGACCUGGAUUGAACUUAAACCUGACAUCAACUUUUGUGACCUUGGGCUCCUAACCAGCCUCUCCGAAGUGACUGUUAUUAAGAUUAAAAGAAGGUAAUAAAUGUGAAGUGUUUACCUGAA